rnacentral:lncRNA from 1 species
GAUCACCCCGACGCGGGUGGCGAGGGUCCCGCCGAGCGCCAGGUCUAAGAGACACUUUUUCCCGAGUCCACUGACGGCUUCUGAACCCCUGCUCCGGCCGGUCCGCACCGUUCCGGCAUUCUCUUGCUCAGUAACAAUUUCGCAGAAUCCCAUCACGUCACAAACCAAACCCCCUCCAAUUGGCCAGUGGGGAGGGUGAUUCAACUCUGUUUACUUUCUCCCCCUGCCAGUCAGAACGGCCUUCGGUGGAGAGGUGCGUCUAGAACUGAGGCGUGCGGCCAAUCCGACUGUUCCGUUUCGCUGCCUCGUGCUACCCCUACAGCCUCGAACACUGACAUUUAAAAGGGUAACAGCUGGGAGGCAGGGAAGGGGCAGCCGCACACUUUCGGAGUGCCUCGCGGUCCCGUGGCCGGUCCGGGCCUCCUGGCUCACGUUCCAGCUUGCGGAGCUUUGGGACACAUCUUUCCUAGUCAGUUGCGCUCGUUCCUAUGGCAAAAGAGAACUUCAGCUUCGGUUUUCCAGCUCCCAAACAGUUAAGUGACUUCCUGCAAACGCUACAGUCCCAGCAACCAGCCUUCCAAUCAAAAUGAAUAAACCAGCAGACCAAUUCAGAGCCCAUUUCAGUGGUGCAGGUGAGAGGUGUUAGAGACCUGGACAAGGUGGUGGCAGAUGAAGAUGGAGAGAAGAGAGAUAGGAUCUCGCUAUGUUGCCCAGGCUGACCUCCUGCCUCAUGCAUCCCUCACCAAGCUUAACAGGUGAGUCGGAUGAGAUGGAUUACUUGUUGUCAAAACAGUAAGUAAUGGAAAGUUGUGGUCAUUCUUUUGAGAUGUAGAGUGGGAAACAUUUAAGCAUUUCAACUUAGCUUAACAGCAAGCUCAGGAAAUAGACAUUUAUGGUUCCAAAUCUUCCCUUUCCUACCUGUUUUACUUAUUGAUUUUAAAAUUACCACCCAAAGUGCCUUAUUCAGGUUGAUUUUUUAUUGUUUUCUUGGCACAGAAGUAUUUGGAGAAGGUAAACACUGACUAAAAUUAAACAUGGCAGUACUUUGUACAAAUAAAUAUGGUAAACAGAGAUGUGAGAAAAUGCCACUGGGAUUCAUUGGUUAGUCUGAUUAAAUGAGCUCCAGUUGAAGUGCUUCUCUUUGGCAGCCCAGAGUUCAAAGAAUGACAAAAUCCCACACUCAGGCUUUGCAUCCGUUGUGAGAGGCAGAGGAGUGGGAAAAGCCUAGGCUUUGGAGUUCAAGAGACCUGGGUUUGAAUUUGAGUUUCCCUCCUUACUACGUGUGUGACCCUGGAAAUACCUUUUAACUAUGCUGAGCCUUCAUUACCUCAUCUAGUUGGAGAUAACAAAACCUACUUUGUAGAGCUGUUUUGAAGAUUAGACACAAAGAAUAUAAAGUGUCUUGCAAUUACAGAUACAUGAUAAAUGGUAGCUCAGAAGUUGAUAAUUAUGUCUGUAGUCUGUGUAGAUAAAUUCAGUAUGCCUAGUUUAGCCAGAGCUAUUUACGCUGUAGAGCUGUUUCAAACUCCUACUUUAUAUACCUUAUGAUUUUGAGUUCUGUCCUCUAGCCUGGCCGAAAUUUACUAGGCUUUUGGAAAAGUUAACAAGUUAAUGGACUGGCUUAACAUAUAUAGUCACAAGCUGCAUAAGUGUCCCUAUGAAGAAAGUAUAUCAAUAGUUGUAAAAGCAUUUGAACAUAUGUACAUUGUAUAAGCAUAAGAUUAAUUACAGGUAGCUUAUGAUGGAGACUGUACAGGAAGGCCCACCAGAGAUUAAAUCUGUGCAGUUUUUCUCUAUGUACAGGUGCCAGAAAUGACUUUGGAUCAUUGAAGGUAGAAGUGUGGGGGUAUAGAUACUGUAGAAUCACUUGGGGAGAUACUCUUAGAAGGGCACAUUGUCUUUUUUUUUUUCUUUGAGACAGGGUCUUGCUCUGUUGUCC